UACGAAGGGGGCUAGCGUUGUUCGGAAUUACUGGGCGUAAAGCGCGCGCAGGCGGUCUUCCAAGUCAGUGGUGAAAGCCCGGAGCUCAACUCCGGAACUGCCAUUGAAACUGUAAGACUUGAGGACGAGAGAGGUGAGUGGAAUUCCCAGUGUAGAGGUGAAAUUCGUAGAUAUUGGGAAGAACACCGGUGGCGAAGGCGGGUCUCUGGGCAGUAACUGACGCUGAGGAGCGAAAGCGUGGGGAGCGAACAGG
rnacentral:rRNA from 1 species